UACGAAGGGGACUAGCGUUGUUCGGAAUCACUGGGCGUAAAGCGCACGUAGGCGGAUUCGUAAGUUAGGGGUGAAAUCCCGGGGCUCAACCUCGGAACUGCCUUUGAUACUGCGGUCGUCGAGUCCGAUAGAGGUGGGUGGAAUUCCUAGUGUAGAGGUGAAAUUCGUAGAUAUUAGGAAGAACACCGGUGGCGAAGGCGGCCCACUGGAUCGGCACUGACGCUGAGGUGCGAAAGCGUGGGGAGCAAACAGG
rnacentral:rRNA from 1 species